rnacentral:rRNA from 1 species
AGUACGUUCGCAAGAAUGAAACUCAAAGGAAUUGACGGGGGCCCGCACAAGCGGUGGAGCAUGUGGUUUAAUUCGAUGAUACGCGAGGAACCUUACCAGGGCUUAAAUGCAGUCGGACAGGUGUGGAAACACGCCCUUCUUCGGACUGAUUGCAAGGUGCUGCAUGGUUGUCGUCAGCUCGUGCCGUGAGGUGUCAGGUUAAGUCCUAUAACGAGCGCAACCCCUGUGGUUAGUUGCCAGCGAGUAAUGUCGGGAACUCUAGCCAGACUGCCGGUGCAAACCGUGAGGAAGGUGGGGAUGACGUCAAAUCAUCACGGCCCUUACGUCCUGGGCUACACACGUGCUACAAUGGCAGGUACAGAGGGCAGCCACACCGCGAGGUGGAGCGAAUCCUUAAAACCUGUCUCAGUUCGGAUCGGGGUCUGCAACUCGACCCCGUGAAGCUGGAAUCGCUAGUAAUCGGAUAUCAGCCAUGAUCCGGUGAAUACGUUCCCGGGCCUUGUACACACCGCCCGUCAAGCCAUGGAAGCUGGGGGUACCUGAAGUCGGUGACCGCAAGGAGCUGCCUAGGGUAAAACCGGUAACUGGGGCUAAGUCGUAACAAGGUAACC